rnacentral:tRNA from 1 species
CCAAAAUAGGUCUUAUAUUCAUGAAAUGAUAUUAGAAUGCAAUUCUAAUGGUGUAAUUUAAUAC